rnacentral:rRNA from 1 species
GACGAACGCUGGCGGCGUGCUUAACACAUGCCAGUCGAACGGAAAGGCCUGCUUUCCCUUGUGGAUUGCGGGUACUCGAGUGGCGAACGGGUGAGUAACACGUGAGUGAUCUGCCCCCAACUUGGGUAUAAGCCUGGGAAACUGGGUCUAAUUCCCGAUAGGACUGCAGGGUGGUGCCUGUGGUGGAAAACGAUUUUCUAGUGGUUGGGGAUGAGCUCGCGGCCUAUCAGCUUGUUGGUGGGGUAAUGGCCUACCAAGGCGGCGACGGGUAGCCGGCCUGAGAGGGUGGACGGCCACAUUGGGACUGAGAUACGGCCCAGACUCCUACGGGAGGCAGCAGUGGGGAAUAUUGCACAAUGGGCGGAAGCCUGAUGCAGCGACGCCGCGUGGGGGAUGACGGCCUUCGGGUUGUAAACUCCUUUCGACCGCGAGGAAGCCACCUGGUUGGAAGGGUGGUGACGGUAGUGGUAGAAGGAGCACCGGCUAACUACGUG